rnacentral:misc_RNA from 1 species
UUAAGUUCAGCGGGUAUCCCUACCUGAUCUGAGGUCAUCUUGAAAAAAGAUGUGGAUUAAGAGGCAAGCAACAGCUCCAAAACAAAGGACGAGAUAAAGAAUUAUUACGUCUGGUUUGCUAGAACCGUACCGCCUAUAAAUUUCUGGAGAGCACACAGAGCCCAGAUGGACCGUGUAUUGCUUCUCCAAUGUUAUCCAAG